CAAGCCAGGACCAUCCUGUGAUCUCCUGUCUCAAGUCAUAUUAAUUAAUAGUCAUCAUUAGUGGCCUACAGGGAACUUUUGAAUAACAAAGAAGCAGAGACCGUAACUAUACUUACAAUGACAGCACCAUCUACUUCUGGAAUUGGCCUAUUACAGUAUCGUCUGCACUUCUUAAGGAUAUUUACUUCACAGCUGAAACUUGGAAGACGUACACAACACACGGUUUUCCAUACCAAGAUAUGAUGCAGGCUGAUGGUAACCUGGAAGAGCUCUUUAGAACAUUUGAGCAGAAACCUUGAAGCAGUUUGCAAAUAGGG